rnacentral:rRNA from 1 species
GAUGAACGCUGGCGGCGUGCUUAACACAUGCAAGUCGAACGAUGAAGCCCAGCUUGCUGGGUGGAUUAGUGGCGAACGGGUGAGUAACACGUGAGCAACCUGCCCCUGUCUCUGGGAUAAGCGCUGGAAACAGCGUCUAAUACUGGAUAUGUCCCGUCACCGCAUGGUGUGCGGGUGGAAAGAUUUUUCGGUUGGGGAUGGUCUCGCGGCCUAUCAGCUUGUUGGUGCGGUAAUGGCUCACCAAGGCGUCGACGGGUAGCCGGCCUGAGAGGGUGACCGGCCACACUGGGACUGAGACACGGCCCAGACUCCUACGGGAGGCAGCAGUGGGGAAUAUUGCACAAUGGGCGGAAGCCUGAUGCAGCAACGCCGCGUGAGGGAUGACGGCCUUCGGGUUGUAAACCUCUUUUAGCAGGGAAGAAGCGAAAGUGACGGUACCUGCAGAAAAAGCACCGGCUAACUACGUG